GACGAACGCUGGCGGCGUGCCUAAUACAUGCAAGUCGAACGCAGUGGGGACGGGUGAGUAACACGUGGGUAACCUCCCAUCAGAGGGGAUAACACUUGGCAACAGGUGCUCAACCGCUCCUGAUGGAUGGACCCGCGGUGCAUUAGCUAGUUGGGGAGGUAACGGCUCACCAGGGCCACGAUGCAUAGCCGCCCUGAGAGGGGGAUCGGCCACACUGGGACUGAGAAACGGCCCAGACUCCUACGGGAGGAAGCAGUAGGGAAUCUGCGGCAAUGGACGAAAGGCUGACCGAGCAACGCCGCGUGAGUGAAGAAGGUUUUCGGAUCGGAAAACUCUGUUGUUAGAGAAGCGGUAUCUAACCAGAAAGCCACUGCUAACUACGUGCCAGCAGCCGCGGUAAUUC
rnacentral:rRNA from 1 species